UGCUCACUUUGGCAAUAAUAUACUAAAAUUGGAAUGAUAUAGAGAAGAUUAGCAAGGUCCCUGCACAAGGAUGGCACACAAAUUUGUGAAGUGUUCCAUAUUUUU